rnacentral:lncRNA from 1 species
GUAUAGACAGUGACCAUUAAGAAAACUGAAGGAGAAAGUGAAGGACGCAAAACGAGUUCUAGUCCACUGUUACUUGUUUCCACGCACAGAUUCGUUCAUUGAUGGAGAUUACAGAAAGUGAAUGGAGUAGAAUCAUUUCUGGUGGGUCUACACAAAGGUGGACUGUCAUCUACUUACUGUUUUGUAGGUAGAUGUGGCUCUCUAAGUGUUAUAAAAGCCUGAGCAAUCAUUAUCCUUCUUGCUGAAUCCAGUGAUGACAACAUAUUGCAUCAGCCAAAUACACUGACAAAGUCAAAAAUAAAUAAAAUGGAAAGUUGCUUGA